rnacentral:tRNA from 1 species
GGGGAUGUGGCUCAAGCGGUAACGCGCUCGCCUUGCAUGCGAGAGUCGCUGGGUUCGAUCCUCAGCACCACA